CGAGGCAAAGCCGCGAGGCAGAGCGAAUCGCUAAAAGCCGUCCCAGUUCGGAUUGCAGGCUGCAACCCGCCUGCAUGAAGUUGGAAUCGCUAGUAAUCGCGGAUCAGCAUGCCGCGGUGAAUACGUUCCCGGGCCUUGUACACACCGCCCGUCACACCAUGAGAGUCGGGAACACCCGAAGUCCGUAGCCUGACCGCAAGGGGGGCGCGGCCGAAGGUGGGUUCGAUAAUUGGGGUGAAGUCGUAACAAGGUAGC
rnacentral:rRNA from 1 species